rnacentral:rRNA from 1 species
CCUACGGGAGGCAGCAGUGGGGAAUAUUGCACAAUGGGGGAAACCCUGAUGCAGCGACGCCGCGUGAGUGAAGAAGUAAUUCGGUAUGGAAAGCUCUAUCAGCAGGGAAGAAAAUGACGGUACCUGAGUAAGAAGCCCCGGCUAACUACGUGCCAGCAGCCGCGGUAAUACGUAGGGGGCAAGCGUUAUCCGGAUUUACUGGGUGUAAAGGGAGCGUAGACGGCAGUGCAAGUCUGGAGGGAAAGGCGGGGGCGCAACCCCCGGACUGCUCUGGAAACUGUACGGCUGGAGUGCAGGAGAGGUAAGUGGAAUGCCUAGUGUAGCGGUGAAAUGCGUAGAUAUUAGGAGGAACACCAGUGGCGAAGGCGGCUUACUGGACUGUAACUGACGUUGAGGCUCGAAAGCGUGGGGAGCAAACAGGAUUAGAUACCCCAGUAGUC